AUUGAACGCUGGCGGCAUGCUUUACACAUGCAAGCCGAACGGUAACAGGUUAAGCUGACGAGUGGCGAACGGGUGAGUAAUGCAUCGGAACGUGCCCGGUCGUGGGGGAUAACGCAGCGAAAGCUGCGCUAAUACCGCAUACGAUCUAAGGAUGAAAGCGGGGGACCGUAAGGCCUCGCGCGAUCGGAGCGGCCGAUGUCAGAUUAGGUAGUUGGUGGGGUAAAGGCUCACCAAGCCAACGAUCUGUAGCUGGUCUGAGAGGACGACCAGCCACACUGGGACUGAGACACGGCCCAGACUCCUACGGGAGGCAGCAGUGGGGAAUUUUGGACAAUGGGCGAAAGCCUGAUCCAGCAAUGCCGCGUGCAGGAAGAAGGCCUUCGGGUUGUAAACUGCUUUUGUACGGAGCGAAAAGGUCUCCUCUAAUACAGGGGGCUCAUCACGGUACCGUAAGAAUAAGCACCGGCUAACUACGUGCCAGCAGCCGCAGUAA
rnacentral:rRNA from 1 species